ACGAGCGAUUAAUGCUACAAGCGGUCUAACAAUUCGGUCGUUAAUUAAUUCUUUCUUUUCGUCUCCUUUCAUUUCAUCAACUUUUAGAGCAUCUCAUCAUUCGAAUUCUUUGAAUUUUUUCUCUCUCUCUCUUUUUCAUGUUAUAUACUUUGAGGAACAGCCGUUGCACGAUUUCACUGAUCUGAUCGAUUCGUUUAUCCGUCGGUGUUUUUCUUUUUCCUAGCUGCGGCGAUCGAGAAGGAUGCGAUGCGGGGUCCCAGAAGAGGUCCUUGCGUACAAAGCUGUAGCGCUCUUGCGGAGUUGCAGCCGUGCGGUGGUCGUAAUAUAUUAGCACUCGUUAGAAAACACAAACCAGAGGAUAAAAUAUACUGGGUAGGACGCACCGCGUUUCGUCCGGGCCGGUUGGCCGCCCGUCCCAGAGUGAAUCUUUUGGCCCCUUGGUUAUUUUUGGCUUCAUCCUAUACUCGCUAUUUCUACGUCAUCUUCAACAUCUUCCUUUUUACAAUAUAUAGAACAUGUACACGUACACGCGCGUGUGCAUGUGCGUGCGCGUGGUAAGUACCUGCUGGUAUGAUAUAUACAUGCGGUGUACACUCUUUGAUCAAAUUCAAACCAUAUACCCAGAGAUGAAAGAUGUUGCAAACGAUAUGGGAUGUGAAUUUUAUCCGCAAUUAUUUCUGUCCGAUCUCGUCGAGUUGUGCAGUUGGAUUCAGCGUUUGCUCCGAUGAUUAAAAUGCAGGAACUUUUCUUUUCACUUUGAAAUGUGAAUUAAUUAGUUCGGGAUAUUAUAUUUGCUUGGUGUAAAAAAAAAA
rnacentral:misc_RNA from 1 species